UGAACAAUUGUGGUGAAUCAAUUGCUUUCUUCAAAACCUGUUCCAGGUUUUCUCUCAGGUUAUACAUUAUAAUAAAAUACUAUACGCAUCAACUUUCAAGAAACAUGUGCUGGUGGCACAGAUUUAAGCAUCUAGUUGAGGAACAAAGUCUAUUGUGUCUUUCUAACUAGUCCUGAAACUUUCUAAAAACCAAUUGCCCCUACCAACAACUCUUCCCUUUCCUCAUAGUAAAUUCUUGUUUCUUGGUCUUACUGAGGAUAAAGUAUAGGGAAAUGAAAUGAAGCCUAUUUUUCAGAAGGACAUUGCCUCAAGUUAUUAAGUUGAAGCCCCUUAUUAUGACUUAGUAGAUUUUAUGUGAUUAAUAUGUGGUUUUGUAUAUUUAUAAAAGAUCUGUGAUCCACAAAUGAGAGAAAAUACUCAGUAUUUAUCUUUAUGCAUCUGGCUUAUUUUACUUAAUGGAAUAUCUCCAUUUGUAUUCAUGUUCCUUCAAAUGGCAUAACCCCAAUCCUUAAAGUUCAUUACACAUACACACACACACACACACACACACACACUCCCCAGCAAGAGAGAGACAGAUGUCUGUUAUGACUAUGCAUGUAUGUAUUAAAAUAUAGCAUGGGCUUCAUCCGUUCAUCUGCUAAUGGACACCUAGGAUGAUUCUUUAGGUCGUUUAUUAUGAAUAAUGCUGUAAUAAUCAUGGCCUUGCAGGUAUUGUGUUGUGUUGACUUAAGAGUUCUUCAGGUAUAUGCUCAGGAGCAGCAUCGGCAGGGUUGUACUAUACUUUCAUUUUUGGUUUUUAUGAGUAACUGCUAUACCGAUAUUCAUAAUGUCUGGGCUAAGUUGCAUUUCCUUCCCUUCUCCUUCAUCCCCUCAGUGUGUUUCUCCUCUGUUUUCUUUAUGAGAGCUGUUCUGAGCAGGUGAGGUCUAAGCUCAAUGUGGUUUUCAUUACGUAUCCCUUUUGUGCUAAGGGUGGUGAACCUAUUGUUUUCAUAUAUUUAUUAUCCCUUUAUACUUCAUCUUUGAAAAUAGCCCAUUCACUUCAUUCGCCUGUUUAUUGACUGGUUGUUUGUUUUCAACUGGUCUUACUUGUGAAAGUGUUUUGUGAAUGUGAGAUGUACAAUUUAAAGUCAGUAGAGUCAAAUGAGAACAUAAAAUCUGAAGUUAAACCUGGCUUUACUGGGAAUGCCAACUCUUGUGCUAUAGUAGGUGUAACUUUACAUAAUAUGCAACACCAGGUGACCUCAGUGGUGAGACAUCUUAUAUUAGAGUUUAAGAAGGAAAUGUGGGGGUUAGCACUCACCCACCAGCUACCGCCUCAGCUGUGUGCGUUUCGCCAUGGCGGGGUCCCCGGUAAAGUGCCAGAGGAUGGAGUCCGCCUUGGACCAGCUCAAGCAGUUCACCAUCGAGGUGGCCGACAAGGGUGAUUUCAAUGCCAUCGAUGAAUACAAGCCCCAAGAUGCCACCACCAACCCAUCCCUGAUCCUGCUGCAGCCCAGAUGCCUGCCUACCAAGAGCUGGUAGAGGAGGUCAUUGCCUACAGCAAGAAGCUGGGUGGGCCUCAAGAGGAGCAGAUUAAAAAUGCCAUUGACAAACUUUUUGUGCUGUUUGGAGCAGAAAUAUUAAAGAAGAUUCCAGGCCGUGUAUCCACAGAAGUUGAUGCAGGGCUUUCCUUUGAUAAGGAUGCCAUGGUGGCCGGAGCCAGGCGCCUCAUUGAGCUUACAGAGAAGCGGGGAUCAGCAAGGACAGAAUUCUCAUCAAGUUAUCAUCAACCUGGGAGGGGAUUCAGGCUGGAAAGGAGCUGGAGGAGCAGCAUGGCAUCCACUGCAACAUGACACUGCUUUUCUCCUUCACCCAGGCUGUGGCCUGUGCUGAAGUGGGCGCGAUGCUCAACUCUCCCUUUGUGGGGCGCAUCCUUGAUUGGCAUUUGGCAAACACAGACAAGAAAUCCUAUGAACUCCAGGAGGACCCUGGGGUCAAGAGUGUCACCAAAAUUUACUACUACAAGAAGUUUGGCUACAAGACCAUUGUCAUGGGCACCUCCUUCUGCAACAUGGGCGAGAUUAAAGCACUGGUGGGCUGUGACUUCCUCACCAUCUCCCCGAAGCUCCUGGGGGAGCUGCUCAAGGAUAACAGCAAGCUGGCGCCUGAGCUCUCCGUCAAGGCGGCCCAGACCAGUGACUCGGAGAAGAUAUAUUUGGAUGAGAAGGCCUUCUGUUGGCUGCACAACGAGGACCAAAUGGCUGUGGAGUAGUUCUCCGAUGGCAUCCGCAAAUUUGCUGCUGAUGCCAUAAGGUUGCAGCGGAUGCUCAUGGAACGAAUGUUCAGCACUGAGAAUGGGAAGUAGUGCAACACCCGAGGCUGGACACCAGACCUGCACUGCCUUUGAGCUGGGUCCUAAUUGCACAUGGCCUAUGACGAAUGAAUCUUGCAUUUUUAGUGAUCAGAGAAGGGAUGGAAUAUAGGAUUCUGAUUUUAUGUGAAAUUUUGUCUAAUUCAUUAAAGCAGUCGCUUUUCCAAAAAAAAAAAAAAAAAAAAAA